UACGUAGGGUGCAAGCGUUAAUCGGAAUUACUGGGCGUAAAGCGUGCGCAGGCGGUUUUGUAAGUUUGUCGUGAAAGCCCCGGGCUCAACCUGGGAAUUGCGAUGAAGACUGCAAGGCUUGAAUCUGGCAGAGGGGGGUAGAAUUCCACGUGUAGCAGUGAAAUGCGUAGAUAUCUGGAGGAACACCGGUGGCGAAGGCGGCAUCCUGGACCGAGAUUGACGCUGAGGCGCGAAAGCUAGGGGAGCAAACGGG
rnacentral:rRNA from 1 species